rnacentral:sRNA from 1 species
UAUAUAUUAGUUAUAGACAUAUAUUUCACUACAUUCAUUUCACCCACACAUCGCGUGGGUCAUUUUCUAGUUCUUUAUAUAAGCUUGUUCGAUUCUUCUUUAGUUCA